ensembl:lncRNA
CAAAGGGCAGAGAGAAGAGUGGAUUAAGAAGAUCAGCUAAUAGGAAAGCACCCAAACUGGAGGGCUCCUUGCUCAGCUACUCCUGAUCAACAGAAUGCUAUUGAUUGGAUGAAGGAAGAAUCCAGUGGAAGAAGAUGAGGAAGAAAUGGAAGAAGAAGGAUGAGGAAGAAAUGAAUUAUUAUUUUUUUUGUUCAUAAAAGAAACAUGACCUAGGGAAGUUUGCUCAAGGUAGACUUCUUAAACUGGGUACAAAACUGCUUCCCUGCAGACAUUAGUCUUACUGCCAAGCUUUGGAAGGAACCAACAGGAAUCAUCAAUUUCAGCUCACCUCAAACCCCGUGUUUCAGAGUGUGGUCCAAAUGCUUCUUGAACUCUGGCAGCUUGGGACCACGAUUGCUGCCCUGAAGAGCCUGUUCCAGUGCCUAACCACCUUCUUCC